rnacentral:lncRNA from 1 species
GCAUUAGGGAAUGCAGUUUCUCGCUAUAUAACUGUAUAACUCAACCGCCCAAGUGAAUGGAUAGUAGACUUAACAUUGAAAUUCCGCCACGUUAUCGAACGUUUUGCCUUCUAGAAGAUGAAGGCAAUUCCGAUACAGACACUGAUGUGAUGGCCGAGUCCACCGCGAUGGCAGCGAAUCGUUGGCGACAGUCGAGUUCCAUUCGUUAACCCCGGGGCGUAGAGCACAGAUUGAGGGCUUCAUUAGAACAGCAGUUUUUGACCUGAUAAUUCUGACAGGCUUUUGUGGAGAAUGUGCAGCUAAACAAAAUAGGUGACGUUGGCGGAAGCAGCUCCCAGCUGUCAACAGCCAGGAGCGCCGGAUAGCGGAGGGCAGGCGAUAACAACCAUCAAGAAUGCACUGGUAAUCACCUCUGGCUCUCGACCAUCGGGGAAAGUGUCACCAGUUUCUAUUCCCCUGCACAAAAUCCAUACUUCUGAUUCGGCCGAUGCAACUCUCACUACUCUGCAACCACCAAAACCCAAGACGACUUUAUCGGAAGCCGGAGUUAGAAAAACGUUAGAAAAACCUCCAGGACCUCCACCCAGACCUGGACCAUCGGCUGUUUCCGAUUGGCAGACCACGCAAUGUCCCGCCACCUUUGAGGGUUUUCCCGCGUGUUGGAAAUGUCACAAGAGGAGGAACUGCUUUUGGGUCAGAGGCACCUGGUAGAGAAAUUUCGUACUACUCCAUGGAAACCCAUUACUUCAUCAGUCGUCUGCUUUCUUCACGCGUGGCGUGGCGUGUGGAUUUUCGAAAUGUCAAUUCGCUGGUGUUUUCCUGGAUUCGUGAUUGCGUGAAUGGCGGUGUUGACGUCAGAAGGACAGAACAGCCACUUUCCUGUUACCAUUAAGAAGUUGCUUCCGCUAACCGGAGUUUGGAAUGGAGAAGAAGAGCUAUAGAAUUCCAAUCCAGACAGCAACACAUUUCUGUCACUCACUCAAUCACUCACUGGAUCGUUUUCGACCAACGAGUUGGACUCCUGGAAGCCCAAGAUUCCGCAUUCCUCAGCUCAGUGCAGAAAGAAGUCGUUAACAUCCAGCUUGUCCUUGUGCGUUAGCAUUUUUUAAAACACUGUAUUUGUUUUAGAUACUUUUUUGUUAAUAAUUCUUACAGUCGUUUAUCAUUUGCGUUUCAUUCGC